UCCGAAUUGGUGUAGGGGUCAACAUUGCCGCUUCUCACUUCCGUCAUCCUUAAUUGGGUAGCGUAAUCAGGACGCGGCAGCCCGGGGUUCGAUUCCCCGAUUCGGAA